rnacentral:misc_RNA from 1 species
GAAAUGCGAUAAGUAAUGUGAAUUGCAGAAUUCAGUGAAUCAUCGAAUCUUUGAACGCACAUUGCGCCCGCCAGUAUUCUGGCGGGCAUGCCUGUCCGAGCGUCAUUUCAACCAUCAAGCCCCCGGGCUUGUGUUGGGGACCUGCGGCUGCCCGCAGGCCCUGAAAACCAGUGGCGGGCUCGCUGUCACACCGAGCGUAGUAGCAAUCACCUCGCUCAGGGCGUGCUGCGGGUUCCGGCCGUUAAACAGCCUUACAAAACCCAAGGUUGACCUCGGAUUAGGUAGGAAGACCCGCUGAACUUAAGC